AGUGUACAUUGUUUUGUGCAUAGUUGUUUGACUUUGAGAGGGCGGGACUCUUUGGAGAGCGAAAUGAACUAGGCGCGGCCAAAAAAGAGCCCCAUCCAUCUAUCACACGUGUAGACAAAGGGGGACUCCACAACACAAAGCUAGAUGUGCCCUCUCAAACUUUUUUUUUUUCCUACAACCGACAGCAGCGCGCGCACAGGAAGCCGACUGCCCAGGUGAGUUGUCUCCAAGCGGCACACUGUCUUUGCUUUCAAUCCUCGAGCGAUUUUUUGGAAUUUAUUCCCAGUUAAAAGUUGCGGCUGUAGUUGGUGCGUCAGCGCUCAAACUUGAGCACAAAGCAGGAGGGAGAGGGAGAGAGAGCUAGAGAAAUCGAGGCAGCAAGGAAGGAGAGAGAGAGAGGGAGCGAGAGGAGCGGUCCCCUGUUCCUUUGUCUGAUGCGGGUCGCUUUGAGGAGAGAACUUGAGGGGGAUGCUCACACACGCAUCUCCAUAACGCUCAUUAACACUCAACUUGUGCUACUUAGAAGCAAUUGUCAGGGAGCUUUCAUGGAGUUGAGGCAGAGUUUGUGGGGUUGCUGUAUUUUUUUGUCUCUCGAGGAUGUUGCGACACAAGACAAAGCCUGUCAGAAGUUUGCGGAGGAAAGGACCUUUUUACGCACGCGAGAAAAAUCACAGUUGGCUGAUGGAUAGUUUGUAAAUACUUCUUUUUUCCUUCUUAGUGCAGUAGUUUUAUGACUGUUGUGUUUACGUUCUUGCGAAGUUGUCUUUCUGCACUAUGGGAAUUCCGCGCAGUGCAAUCAGGUGUAAAGUCUCCAAGAAACAAGAAACGGUGGGAAUUUAAGCAAUUUAACCAGUACAGUGCUUGCUUCUGAUGGAUUAAGAAAAUAAAAAAGAUGUGUAGAAAAAAAAACACACGGAAGAUGUACAGAUUCACCUAUCAAGCCAUUUUUAAGAUGAAAUGAAGGAUUAAGAGACUGUUCACUUUUCUUCUGGAUGAACAUGAAGACUUAUCUCAUGAGGAUUUAGACUUCAGCAGCAGCAGCGCCAGUCGGAUUGUGUUUUAGGCACACUUGGAAAUCUAAACCUCAUGGAGAUACUUUGAGGAUUAUAAAAGAUGUGCAUGUAGAAUGCCACCAUACAAGACGCGUCCUGGGCCAAAGUCCUUGGGAUAGCAGGAUAUUGCUUUCCUGAUCCUUCUCAGCCCCCAGAAUGGGGAGUGUGGGAGUGGUGAGGUCUGGGAGAUCACGACCUUAAUUCUCUCCAAGACAGACGGUUUAAUUAACACUGGAAGAAUCCUCACUGACUCCAGACCUCUACAGUGAGAAUGUACAGGGGAAUUGGCUUGCCAAGGUCCUCUUGGCCAUAGACUGAAAUGCUGACAGACGAUGCCCAUGAAUGAUGAAUGAUGACUGGAGGUCUGUCUGGUGCCAGCAGAAUGCAUAAUACAGCAUCGAUACAGCAAUCGCAGUCCUCCUCAGCAGAAACAUGGUGCAGUUUCUGUAUCACAUUAUUGGAAGAUUUGCCCCAAGCAGGACAGCAGGACCACUCAAAGUGGAAAUCAACCGCAAUGUUGAAUGUUGUUUCGGUUGGAGUCCUAAAUGAAGCAGCAUUACAAAGAGUUUUCUGGUGUGUCAGAGUGAGGCUCAGUGGGAAAGAUUGCUGUGUCUAGACAGGAGUGUGAGGUGCAGAUCUACACAGAAGCUUACAGGAAACUGAAGAAGACGGGUGAGGUUAAAGAGGACAGCACGAUGGAAAAAACAAGAAUGAAAGCAGCCAGUGAUAAAUAUUAACUUUUGUGAAACAUUUUGAGCAUUUGCAUCACUAAAAGUCCUCAUAUAUAGCUGUUUGUCAUCGCCUUAAACUGCUAGAAUUUGAUUUUAAAAAUACGGGUAUCAUGUAGCGGUUCGAGUUAGAAGCUGGGAAUAUGCAAUCACAUCUGUAAGAGUUACAUUUCGCAGCUCAUUGUAUCUCUGACUGCAAAAUAAAGUUUGAUAACAAUCUGUUUUUGUGUUAUUAAUAUGUUGUAUGGAAAUAAAGAAAAAAAACCAAUGAAAGCACUUUUUAAAUGCUUUUUUGUAAAUCUGUUUUAAAAAAAAACAAUAUGUCUGCACAAGGGCCUGUAAUUAAAAGGGAAAAGGGC
ensembl:lncRNA